UACGUAGGGAGCAAGCGUUGUCCGGAAUCAUUGGGCGUAAAGCGCGCGUAGGCGGCCCUGUAAGUCCGUUGUGAAAGUCAAAGGCUCAACCUUUGAAAGCCGAUGGAUACUGCAGGGCUAGAGUCCGGAAGAGGCGAGUGGAAUUCCUGGUGUAGCGGUGGAAUGCGCAGAUAUCAGGAGGAACACCAAUAGCGAAGGCAGCCCCCUGGGCUGAGAUUGACGCUCAGGCACGAAAGCGUGGGGAGCAAACAGG
rnacentral:rRNA from 1 species